CUGGACUCCAAACAAAUAACUAACAUAUUCAGGGAAAGAGGAGUCUGGACACUUUUCCAUUUCAGACUCUGCUAAUGACUUGCUGUGUUAAUCUUGGUGGCACUUAAGAAUCAGCAAUAAACAAGAAACAUAACCUCUAAAAUCAAAUAAAUAUCUGACAAAAACCUUUGA